rnacentral:rRNA from 1 species
GCUUUAGACCUCAAAUCAGGCAGGACUACCCGCUGAACUUAAGCAUAUC